ensembl:lncRNA
AGGACAAGGGCAGAAGCACGGGGACCGGCUAGGAGGCUCUCGCACAAAUCCAGCUGAGACAGCCGGGCGGUGAGAGCCUGGGAAUAUUCUGACGGCGACCACGGUGUUUGCGGACGCAUUGGAUGUGGGGCGAUAGCAAAAGAGAAGGACUGGGGACCGAGGAAGGAUGACACUGCCAUGACCUCAGAAUGAAAAGAAGUCUCUCGGGAGGCGUGCCACCGUCCCUAUGAUUAUGUCUGUUGUUCCCGACGAGUCCUGAGCCCAGCGCUGAGGCCGCAGCAGGCCCGUCCCCUCCCCGCCCCGGCCGGAGCCAAGCCGGUCCUUCCGUCUGGUCCACGGAGCCCAGCGACUUCCUCGGAGCCUCGGCGGCCGUGGAGGCUAUCAUUCCAUCUCUCCCACCCACGGGAUCUUGGCUCCUCCUCAAGGCUCUUUCGCAUUUUCCCACAGUUCCCUUCCCGAAUCUUUUCCUGUCAGCGUCUCUGUUUUCUCCUCCCGUCCUCCGUAGGUUCUGUGAGAACUUGGCAGUCUUCUGUCGGGCUUGUUUUGUUGCUUAUGCUCCUCCCCCAUUCUAUUUCUAUGGCUUGUUACAUACUGAGAUUUGCUGUGCAUUUUUGUUCUGUCUGACUCUAAUCAAUAGGGCCCAGAAUGGCGUUUGUUUUUUUUUAACCUUCAUUAUGUUAUUUGUGGGUUUCUCAGUUUCAUUCAGAAAUCAAUUAUACAUCCCUAAUAAUGAAACUUAAUUUGGGCGAGUUUUGGUGAUUCUCUCCAUGCCAAGUCCACGGUAUUAACCGGUCGAACUGUGCGUCCAGGAUAUGCAAGAUGAUGUUGCUGUUUUGUCAAAGGAGGAGCCCUUUACCUUCUUGCUAUUUGAAUGAGGAGAAAGGUCUAUUAAGUUUCACAGGAAUUUCCCAGCCUCCUCGCCUUUAGCCAGCCCCUCAGGAGACCUGCUCUUUCCUUGAACAAUGACAUUACGGCUGGAAGAUGAGUGAGGCAUCCACUCAAUGUGUUAACAAUAUGGAAAGGACCACGGUGGAAAGUCACUUAGAAGCUGACAGUGCCUGUUAAAGAAAAGAGGACUUUCAAAGACUGAGAAUGGGUGAAAACGGCUGAGUCCGGAUAUGAGAUGAGGAUCCUGCACCCAGAGAAGAAAAGACUUAACCUUUGUCACAAAGCUCGCAAUCCGCCUGGGACUAGAACCUACUCUCCUGCCUUGGACCCAGCCCUGACCUCUGAGCUCAGGUCCUGACAGCAGCUACUGGCCCCGGAUUUUGCAGAUGAUCAAGUUAAGAUGAGAUCAUCAGAGUGGGCCCUAAUCCAAAAUGAUUGUGUCCUGAUAAAGUGGGGAAAUGUGGACCCGAGGCUGAUGUGCACGCAGGGAGAACACCGUGUGAAGAAGAAGGCAGAGACUGGGGUGAUCCAUUUACAAGCCAAGGAAUCCCAGUGAUUGCCAGAAAACCACGAGGAGCCAGGAGAGAGGCAUUCAACAGAGUCUCCCUCAAGCCCUCAGGACGAACCCACCCUGCCGACACCGUGUACUCCUGGGCCCUAGAACUGUG